rnacentral:rRNA from 1 species
UGCAAACUGCGAAUACCGGAGAAUGUUAUCACGGGAGACACACGGCGGGUGCUAACGUCCGUCGUGAAGAGGGAAACAACCCAGACCGCCAGCUAAGGUCCCAAAGUCAUGGUUAAGUGGGAAACGAUGUGGGAAGGCCCAGACAGCCAGGAUGUUGGCUUAGAAGCAGCCAUCAUUUAAAGAAAGCGUAAUAGCUCACUGGUCGAGUCGGCCUGCGCGGAAGAUGUAACGGGGCUAAACCAUGCACCGAAGCUGCGGCAGCGACGCUGAUGCGUUGUUGGGUAGGGGAGCGUUCUGUAAGCCUGCGAAGGUGUGCUGUGAGGCAUGCUGGAGGUAUCAGAAGUGCGAAUGCUGACAUAAGUAACGAUAAAGCGGGUGAAAAGCCCGCUCGCCGGAAGACCAAGGGUUCCUGUCCAACGUUAAUCGGGGCAGGGUGAGUCGACCCCUAAGGCGAGGCCGAAAGGCGUAGUCGAUGGGAAACAGGUUAAUAUUCCUGUACUUGGUGUUACUGCGAAGGGGGGACGGAGAAGGCUAUGUUGGCCGGGCGACGGUUGUCCCGGUUUAAGCGUGUAGGCUGGU